GGGUUGUGAGGUUAAGCGACUAAGCGUACACGGUGGAUGCCCUGGCAGUCAGAGGCGAUGAAGGACGUGCUAAUCUGCGAUAAGCGUCGGUAAGGUGAUAUGAACCGUUAUAACCGGCGAUUUCCGAAUGGGGAAACCCAGUGUGUUUCGACACACUAUCAUUAACUGAAUCCAUAGGUUAAUGAGGCGAACCGGGGGAACUGAAACAUCUAAGUACCCCGAGGAAAAGAAAUCAACCGAGAUUCCCCCAGUAGCGGCGAGCGAACGGGGAGCAGCCCAGAGCCUGAAUCAGUGUGUGUGUUAGUGGAAGCGUCUGGAAAGGCGCGCGAUACAGGGUGACAGCCCCGUACACAAAAAUGCACAUGCUGUGAGCUCGAUGAGUAGGGCGGGACACGUGGUAUCCUGUCUGAAUAUGGGGGGACCAUCCUCCAAGGCUAAAUACUCCUGACUGACCGAUAGUGAACCAGUACCGUGAGGGAAAGGCGAAAAGAACCCCGGCGAGGGGAGUGAAAAAGAACCUGAAACCGUGUACGUACAAGCAGUGGAAGCACAGAGCAAUCUGUGUGACUGCGUACCUUUUGUAUAAUGGGUCAGCGACUUAUAUUCUGUAGCAAGGUUAACCGAAUAGGGGAGCCGAAGGGAAACCGAGUCUUAACUGGGCGUUAAGUUGCAGGGUAUAGACCCGAAACCCGGUGAUCUAGCCAUGGGCAGGUUGAAGGUUGGGUAACACUAACUGGAGGACCGAACCGACUAAUGUUGAAAAAUUAGCGGAUGACUUGUGGCUGGGGGUGAAAGGCCAAUCAAACCGGGAGAUAGCUGGUUCUCCCCGAAAGCUAUUUAGGUAGCGCCUCGUGAAUUCAUCUCCGGGGGUAGAGCACUGUUUCGGCAAGGGGGUCAUCCCGACUUACCAACCCGAUGCAAACUGCGAAUACCGGAGAAUGUUAUCACGGGAGACACACGGCGGGUGCUAACGUCCGUCGUGAAGAGGGAAACAACCCAGACCGCCAGCUAAGGUCCCAAAGUCAUGGUUAAGUGGGAAACGAUGUGGGAAGGCCCAGACAGCCAGGAUGUUGGCUUAGAAGCAGCCAUCAUUUAAAGAAAGCGUAAUAGCUCACUGGUCGAGUCGGCCUGCGCGGAAGAUGUAACGGGGCUAAACCAUGCACCGAAGCUGCGGCAGCGACGCUUAUGCGUUGUUGGGUAGGGGAGCGUUCUGUAAGCCUGCGAAGGUGUGCUGUGAGGCAUGCUGGAGGUAUCAGAAGUGCGAAUGCUGACAUAAGUAACGAUAAAGCGGGUGAAAAGCCCGCUCGCCGGAAGACCAAGGGUUCCUGUCCAACGUUAAUCGGGGCAGGGUGAGUCGACCCCUAAGGCGAGGCCGAAAGGCGUAGUCGAUGGGAAACAGGUUAAUAUUCCUGUACUUGGUGUUACUGCGAAGGGGGGACGGAGAAGGCUAUGUUGGCCGGGCGACGGUUGUCCCGGUUUAAGCGUGUAGGCUGGUUUUCCAGGCAAAUCCGGAAAAUCAAGGCUGAGGCGUGAUGACGAGGCACUACGGUGCUGAAGCAACAAAUGCCCUGCUUCCAGGAAAAGCCUCUAAGCAUCAGGUAACAUCAAAUCGUACCCCAAACCGACACAGGUGGUCAGGUAGAGAAUACCAAGGCGCUUGAGAGAACUCGGGUGAAGGAACUAGGCAAAAUGGUGCCGUAACUUCGGGAGAAGGCACGCUGAUAUGUAGGUGAAGUCCCUCGCGGAUGGAGCUGAAAUCAGUCGAAGAUACCAGCUGGCUGCAACUGUUUAUUAAAAACACAGCACUGUGCAAACACGAAAGUGGACGUAUACGGUGUGACGCCUGCCCGGUGCCGGAAGGUUAAUUGAUGGGGUUAGCGGUAACGCGAAGCUCUUGAUCGAAGCCCCGGUAAACGGCGGCCGUAACUAUAACGGUCCUAAGGUAGCGAAAUUCCUUGUCGGGUAAGUUCCGACCUGCACGAAUGGCGUAAUGAUGGCCAGGCUGUCUCCACCCGAGACUCAGUGAAAUUGAACUCGCUGUGAAGAUGCAGUGUACCCGCGGCAAGACGGAAAGACCCCGUGAACCUUUACUAUAGCUUGACACUGAACAUUGAGCCUUGAUGUGUAGGAUAGGUGGGAGGCUUAGAAGUGUGGACGCCAGUCUGCAUGGAGCCGACCUUGAAAUACCACCCUUUAAUGUUUGAUGUUCUAACGUUGACCCGUAAUCCGGGUUGCGGACAGUGUCUGGUGGGUAGUUUGACUGGGGCGGUCUCCUCCUAAAGAGUAACGGAGGAGCACGAAGGUUGGCUAAUCCUGGUCGGACAUCAGGAGGUUAGUGCAAUGGCAUAAGCCAGCUUGACUGCGAGCGUGACGGCGCGAGCAGGUGCGAAAGCAGGUCAUAGUGAUCCGGUGGUUCUGAAUGGAAGGGCCAUCGCUCAACGGAUAAAAGGUACUCCGGGGAUAACAGGCUGAUACCGCCCAAGAGUUCAUAUCGACGGCGGUGUUUGGCACCUCGAUGUCGGCUCAUCACAUCCUGGGGCUGAAGUAGGUCCCAAGGGUAUGGCUGUUCGCCAUUUAAAGUGGUACGCGAGCUGGGUUUAGAACGUCGUGAGACAGUUCGGUCCCUAUCUGCCGUGGGCGCUGGAGAACUGAGGGGGGCUGCUCCUAGUACGAGAGGACCGGAGUGGACGCAUCACUGGUGUUCGGGUUGUCAUGCCAAUGGCACUGCCCGGUAGCUAAAUGCGGAAGAGAUAAGUGCUGAAAGCAUCUAAGCACGAAACUUGCCCCGAGAUGAGUUCUCCCUGACUCCUUGAGAGUCCUGAAGGAACGUUGAAGACGACGACGUUGAUAGGCCGGGUGUGUAAGCGCAGCGAUGCGUUGAGCUAACCGGUACUAAUGAACCGUGAGGCUUAACCUUACAACGCCGAAGCUGUU
rnacentral:rRNA from 1 species